UACGUAGGUGACCAGCGUUGUCCGGAUUUACUGGGCGUAAAGAGCGCGCAGGCGGUCGUUCAAGUCGAGUGUGAAAGCCCCCGGCUCAACUGGGGAGGGUCACGCGAUACUGAUCGACUCGAAGGCAGGAGAGGGAAGUGGAAUUCCCGGUGUAGUGGUGAAAUGCGUAGAUAUCGGGAGGAACACCAGUGGCGAAGGCGGCUCUCUGGGACGGUACUGACGCUGAGACGCGAAAGCGUGGGGAGCGAACAGG
rnacentral:rRNA from 1 species